rnacentral:rRNA from 1 species
UCUGGUUGAUCCUGCCAGACCCGACUGCUAUCAGAGUGGGACUAAGCCAUGCGAGUUAACGUAGCAAUACGUGGCACACGGCUCAGUAACACGUGGUCAACAUACCCAGAGGACGUGGAUAACCUCGGGAAACUAAGGAUAAACCGCGAUAGACCAUAAUGUCUGGAAUGAUUUAUGGUUCAAAUCUAUACGGCCUCUGGAUUGGACUGCGGCCGAUCAGGCUGUUGGUGAGGUAAUGGCCCACCAAACCUGAAACCGGUACGGGCUCUGAGAGGAGAAGCCCGGAGAUGGGCACUGAGACAAGGGCCCAGGCCCUAUGGGGCGCAGCAGGCGCGAAACCUUUGCAAUAGGCGAAAGCCUGACAAGGUUACUCUGAGUGAUCUCCGCUAAGGAAAUCUUUUGACACCUCUAAAAAUGGUGUAGAAUAAGGGGUGGGCAAGCCUGGUGUCAGCCGCCGCGGUAAUACCAGCACCCCGAGUGGUCGGGACGAUUAUUGGGCCUAAAGCAUCCGUAGCCGGUUCUUUAAGUCCUCCGUUAAAUCCACCUGCUUAACAGAUGGGCUGCGGAGGAUACUAUAGAGCUAGGAGGCGGGAGAGGCAAGCGGUACUCAGUGGGUAGGGGUAAAAUCCGUUGAUCCAUUGAAGACCACCAGUGGCGAAGGCGGCUUGCCAGAACGCGCUCGACGGUGAGGGAUGAAAGCUGGGGGAGCAAACCGGAUUAGAUACCCGGGU